GGAGCUUGCUCCCUGAGAUCAGCGGCGGACGGGUGAGUAACACGUGGGUAACCUGCCUGUAAGACUGGGAUAACUCCGGGAAACCGGGGCUAAUACCGGAUAACACCUACCCCCGCAUGGGGGAAGGUUGAAAGGUGGCUUCGGCUAUCACUUACAGAUGGACCCGCGGCGCAUUAGCUAGUUGGUGAGGUAACGGCUCACCAAGGCGACGAUGCGUAGCCGACCUGAGAGGGUGAUCGGCCACACUGGGACUGAGACACGGCCCAGACUCCUACGGGAGGCAGCAGUAGGGAAUCUUCCGCAAUGGACGAAAGUCUGACGGAGCAACGCCGCGUGAGUGAAGAAGGUUUUCGGAUCGUAAAACUCUGUUGUUAGGGAAGAACAAGUGCCGUUCGAAUAGGGCGGCACCUUGACGGUACCUAACCAGAAAGCCACGGCUAACUACGUGCCAGCAGCCGCGGUAAUACGUAGGUGGCAAGCGUUGUCCGGAAUUAUUGGGCGUAAAGCGCGCGCAGGUGGUUUCUUAAGUCUGAUGUGAAAGCCCACGGCUCAACCGUGGAGGGUCAUUGGAAACUGGGGAACUUGAGUGCAGAAGAGGAAAGUGGAAUUCCAAGUGUAGCGGUGAAAUGCGUAGAUAUUUGGAGGAACACCAGUGGCGAAGGCGACUUUCUGGUCUGUAACUGACACUGAGGCGCGAAAGCGUGGGGAGCAAACAGGAUUAGAUACCCUG
rnacentral:rRNA from 1 species